rnacentral:tRNA from 1 species
GGAGUUCACGCCGGCCUGUCAAGCCGGAGGUCGCGGGUUCAAAUCCCGUCGGGACCG